rnacentral:rRNA from 1 species
GAUAAACGCUGGCGGCGUACCUUAUGCAUGCAAGUCGAACGGUCUCGAUUUAUCGAGAUAGUGGCGAACGGGUGAGUAACACGUAAGUAACCUGCCCUUAAGUAGGGGAUAACUCUAAGAAAUUGGAGCUAAUACCGUAGUGGUGAUGGAGGUAAUGCUCCAUCACUAAAGCCCUCGGGCGCUUAGGGAGGGGCUUGUGGCCGAUUAGCUAGUUGGUAGAGUGAUGGUUUACCAAGGCGAUGAUCGGUAGCUGGUCUGAGAGGAUAGCCAGCCACAUUGGGACUGAGAUACGGCCCAGACUCCUACGGGAGGCAGCAGCAAGGAAUCUUGUGCAAUGGGCGAAAGCCUGACACAGUAACGCCGCGUGGGGGAAGAAGGCUUUCGAGUCGUAAACCCCUUUUCUCAGGGAAGAAUAAUGACGGUACCUGAGGAAUAAGUCACGGCUAACUACGUGCCAGCAGCCGCGGUAAUACGUAGGUGGCAAGCGUUAUCCGGAUUUAUUGGGCGUAAAGAGGGCGUAGGCGGUCUUUCAAGUCGGAUGUAAAAUCUCCCGGCUCAACUGGGAGCGAUCAUUCGAUACUGUUAGGCUAGAGGGCAGCAGAAGGAGGUGGAAUUCCCGGUGGAGUGGUGAAAUGCGUAGAUAUCAGGAGGAACACCAGUGGCGAAAGCGGCCUCCUAGGCUGUUUCUGACGCUGAGGCCCGAAAGCAUGGGGAGCGAACAGGAUUAGAUACCCUGGUAGUCCAUGCCGUAAACUAUGGACACUAGGUAUAGGGAGUACCGACCCUCUCUGUGCCGGAGCUAACGCGUUAAGUGUCCCGCCUGGGGAGACGACCGCAAGGUU